UAACACGUAGGUAAUCUACCUUUCGGAUGGGGAAUAACAAUCGGAAACGGUUGCUAAUACCGCAUAAUGCAGCGGCACCUAAUGGUGACAGUUGUUAAAGCGGGGGAUCGAAAGACCUCGCGUCUAAAGAGGAGCCUGCGGCGGAUUAGCUAGUUGGUAAGGUAACGGCUUACCAAGGCAACGAUCCGUAGCCGGCCUGAGAGGGCGGUCGGCCACACUGACACUGACAUACGGGUCAG
rnacentral:rRNA from 1 species